rnacentral:lncRNA from 1 species
AAUUGCUGUUUGACUUCUCUUUGUCUCUCUGUCUCUGUCUGUUUCUGUCUAUCUCUGUCUCUCACUCUCUGUCUCUGUCUCUUCUCUCUGUCUCUCUCUCUCUGUCUCUGUCUCUCUCACUCUCUGUUCUCUCUGUCUCUAUCUCUGUCUCUGUCUCUGUCUUUGUCUCUCUCUGUCCUCUCUGUUUCUGUCUCUAUCUCUAUCUCUGACUCUGUGUCUCUCUCUGUCUCUCUCACUCUCUGUUCUCUCUGUCUCUAUCUCUGUCUGUCUCUCUGUCCUCUCUGUCUGUUUCUGUCUGUCUCUAUCUCUCUCUGUCUCUGUCUCUAUCUCUGUCUCUCUCUGUCUUUCUCACUCUCUCUGUCCUCUCUGUCUCUAUCUCUGUCUCUCUGUCCUCUCUGUCUGUUUCUGUCUCUGUCUCUCUCUGUCUCUGUCUCUGUCUCUCUCACUCUUUCUCUGUCCUCUCUGUCUCUAUCUCUGUCUCUGUCUCUCUAUCUUUGUUUCUGUCUCAAUCUCUAUCUCUGUCUCUGUCUCUCUGUCUUUGUUUCUGUCUCAAUCUCUAUCUCUGUCUCUGUCUCUCUCACUCUGUCCUCUCUGUCUCUAUCUCUGUUUCUAUCUCUAUCUCUGUCUCUGUCUCUCUAUCUUUGUUUCUGUCUCAAUCUCUAUCUCUGUCUCUCUCACUCUCUCUCUGUCCUCUCUGUCUCUAUCUCUGUCCUCUCUGUCUUUAUCUCUGUCUCUGUCUCUGUCUCUCUGUCUUUGUUUCUGUCUCAAUCUCUAUCUCUGUCUCUCUCACUCUCUCUCUGUCCUCUCUGUCUCUAUCUCUGUCCUCUCUGUCUCUGUCUCUCUGUCUUUGUUUCUGCCUCAAUCUCUAUCUCUGUCUCUGUCUCUCUCACUCUGUCCUCUCUGUCUCUAUCUCUGUCUCUAUCUCUAUCUCUGUCUCUGCCUCUCUCACUCUGUCCUCUCUGUCUCUAUCUCUGUCUCUAUCUCUAUCUCUGUCUCUGCCUCUCUCCAUCUCUCUCUCUGUCUCUCUCUGUCUCUCUGUCUCUCUCACUCUCUCUCCUCUCUCUCUCUCUCUCUCUGUCUCUCUCUCAGACUAUGGUUUCUCUGAGGGCAGGGCCUCAAUAGGUUCCUCUUCUCUCUCCUCAAAUGGAUGGAA